rnacentral:rRNA from 1 species
UAAGGAAUAUUGGUCAAUGGACGCAAGUCUGAACCAGCCAUGCCGCGUGAAGGAUUAAGGUCCUCUGGAUUGUAAACUUCUUUUUAUCUGGGACGAAAAAAGGCGAUUCUUCGUCACUUGACGGUACCAGAUGAAUAAGCGCCGGCUAACUCCGUGCCAGCAGCCGCGGUAAUACGGAGGGUGCAAGCGUUAUCCGGAUUCACUGGGUUUAAAGGGUGCGUAGGCGGGGCAGGUAAAGUCAGUGGUGAAAAUCCUGGAGCUUAACUCCAGAACUGCCAUUGAUACUAUCUGUCUUGAAUAUUGUGGAGGUAAGCGGAAUAUGUCAUGUAGCGGUGAAAUGCUUAGAUAUGACAUAGAACACCUAUUGCGAAGGCAGCUUACUACGCAUAUAUUGACGCUGAGGCACGAAAAGCGUGGGGAUCAAACAGGAUUAGAUACCCUGGUAGUCCACGCCCUAAACGAUGGAUACUCGACAUACGCGAUACACUGUGUGUGUCUGAGCG